rnacentral:rRNA from 1 species
AUUGAACGCUGGCGGCAUGCUUUACACAUGCAAGUCGAACGGUAACAGGCCGCAAGGUGCUGACGAGUGGCGAACGGGUGAGUAAUGCAUCGGAACGUGCCCAGUCGUGGGGGAUAACGCAGCGAAAGCUGCGCUAAUACCGCAUACGAUCUGUGGAUGAAAGCGGGGGACCGUAAGGCCUCGCGCGAUUGGAGCGGCCG